rnacentral:rRNA from 1 species
GACGAACGCUGGCGGCGUGCCUAAUACAUGCAAGUAGGACGCAGUUGCGAACGGGUGAGUAACGCGUAGGUAACUACCUAUAAGAGGGGGUUAACUAUUGGAUACGAUAGCGCAUACCGCAUACUAGUAGAUUGACCUGCGUUGUAUUAGCUAGUCGGUAGGGUAAUGGGCUACCUAGGCAAAGAUGCAUAGCGGACCCGGGAGGGUGAUCUGGCACACUGGGGCUGUUGCACGGUACUGAAGCCUACGGGAAGCAGCCUUAGGGGAUCUUUGGAAAUGGGGAGAACUCUGACUGAGCAGCGCCGCGGGAGUGAAGAAGGGUUUCGGAUAUGUAAACUCUUUAGAUAAGGGAGCGGUACUUAAGCAGAAAUGGACGGCUAACUACGUGCCAGCAGCCGCGGUAAUAC